rnacentral:rRNA from 1 species
AUGGCCGACCCGACGCAGCUGGUUCGAUUUGUGACGAUCCUAGCCAUGUGCUUCCUCCUCUUCCACCGGAGUUCAUCGGCGCUCCCACCAACAACAGCAGGCACCCUUUGCAUCCCCCGCGAGAGGGACGCACUUCUCGACUUCAAGGCCGGCCUCACCGACCCCGGCAACCUCAUGUCGUCGUGGCGAGGUGUGGAGUGCUGCCGGUGGACGGGUGUCGUCUGCAGCAACCGGACCGGCCACGUCGUCGCGCUCCAAAUCAGCAGCGAAAGCAUGGACAAGCUUGGAGGUGAGAUACGCUCCUCCUUGCUCACUUUACGACAUAUGAAGCAGCUGGACCUCUCAGGCAAUGACUUCGGCGGCCAACCCAUCCCGGAGCUCAUCGGCACUCUCGGGCGCCUGACGCAUCUGGACCUCUCAUACUCCAAUUUCAGUGGUCGGAUUCCUCCCCACCUCGGCAACCUCUCAAACUUAGUCAGCCUUCGGCUCAAAUAUAUGGCACAUGGCUCUUACUCUCCUGAUCUCGCAUGGGUGUCGCGCCUCAGGAAGCUGCAGGUCCUCUGGAUAACUUAUGUGGACCUCAGCGCUGUUGCCGACUGGUUUCAUGCUAUCAACAUGCUCCCCUAUUUGAUAGACCUCGAUUUAACUUCUUGUGGGCUUCAGAACAUUGUGCCUCCCCCGGUGCAUUCCAAUCUCACAUCGCUAGAGAGCCUCACCCUUGAUUUAAAUCCCUUCAACACAUCUCUUGGAGCCAAAAAUUGGGUUUGGAAUCUGCCUAGCCUCCAAGGGCUCUCCCUAUCUAGCUGCGGAAUCCAUGGUCCAAUCCCUGACGCGGUGGGGAACUUGACCUCCAUUCAAACACUGGAUCUUGGUUUCAACAUGUUCACUGGCAUAGUGCCAUCAACCAUCAAGAAACAGAAGAAACUACAAAACCUCCUAUUGCACUACAACUUCAUCAACAUGGAUGUGGCAGAGCUACUGCAUCGGUUGCCAUCAAAUGAAUUGUAUGUGCUGUUUUUGGAGGAAAACCAUUUGACAGGGAGCUUACCAGAUCAGCUAGGGCACUUUAGCAACUUGACCAUUAUUGCACUCGACAACAACAAGCUUUCUGGAGAGAUACCAGUUGGUAUACGGGAACUCAUAAAUUUGAGCGAUAUAUCGCUAACCUCCAACAACCUACAUGGUACAAUCACCGAGGACCAUUUCACAAAUCUGACCAACUUACAAUUCCUUUAUAUCUCUGAUAAUUCCUUAACUGUGAAGGUUGACAGUACAUGGAAAGCUCCAUUCAGCUUAGUCCAAGCAGACUUUAGAUCUUGCAUACUAGGGCCCCAGUUUCCAUCUUGGCUUAACCAACCACAUAUGAUUGAUCUUGAUGUUUCAAACACAAGCAUACACGAUAACAUACCUGUUUGGAUUGCUAAUUCCUCUGCUCAAUAUUUGAAUUUGUCAAGAAAUCGGCUUGCUGGCAUGCUUCCUACAUUUUCCCUAUCAUCUCCCUUGAGAAUACUGGAUGUCAGUUCUAACCAGAUCGUUGGCCGAUUCCAACACUUCCAAACAACCUAG